rnacentral:lncRNA from 1 species
CUGCAAUCAAAAAUUUUGACACAUACAAACUUGUUACGCUUUCCUCCAUUGAUUACAAUACAAGCAUCCUUAUAUGAAAUAGAUGGUAAGCUUAAUGCCAUAUAUACCAAAGAGUUAGUUUCUUUGUACUUUGCUUCAGUUGAUUCAUUUAUUCCUUGGAAACCUUUAUCAAUAGACUAAUCCAACACAAGCAUGCACUCCAUUUUGCAUUGGCAAAAUCACUUCAUAUUGUAGUUGAAAAUUGCUUUUAGGUACUAGGGUCAUAAAAGCAUAAUAGCUAAUAUUUAUGCCUUAAUGCCUUAUAUUAAGAACAAAAUUUAAUAUUAAAAUUGCAUUUAAGGCAACUAGUUUUCGCAUUAAGGCAUCAUCCACUUUUUUGGGUUAUCAAGACAAUCUCUUACAAAAAAAACAUGGAAAAAAGUAUAACCAUCUUAUUAUUGAAUUUGGAGUUGGUGGGCUCAUGUAUACCAUACCACCCUUUAUGGAUAAUGAAGAAAAAAAAUCAUUUCAAUGACAGUUCCACAAUUAGAGACCAUGCACCGUCCAACUUCUUUAAAGGCCACCAUCCACCUUUUCCUUUAUAAAUAAAGAGUUUGUAAUGCAUUUUACUCCAAGGUCAUUGAGGCAUCCAUCCCAUACAAAACUUAUGAAACAUUGGAAACUAAGGUCAUUAAGUUCAUAAUACAAAACCACUUAUAAUUGCAGCUGUAAAAUUGAAAUUAGGGACUAAGGGGCAUCAAAUCAAAAUAGAUAUCCAUUCAUGCAUUAUGAAUCAAAGUUCAUAAUUUAUUUUUGAGAAAAAAGAGGACAUUGAUAGAGAUAAUAGCUUGAGUGACAAUUAAGGCAACAACUAGCUUUCACAUUCAAAGACUAGGGUCAUUAAGUUCAUCCAAUAUUUUUGGGCAUCAAAACAUUUAAUCUCUUACAAAAAUUGAAGGUUCAUUUUUUUCGAAGAAGAAGAUUGAAAGUUCUUGAAUACUCAAGAAUGAAAAAAACGACAACCCAUCAUCGUUCCCAAUAGGUAUUGAUUAUAAACCAAACGGGGAAAUAUUUUGGAAUGAACUUUCCAAUAAGCAGAAUAUUGUAAGUUCUUGGGACAUAACACAUUUCUUCAAUUAAAGUUUCUUGUUUUCAAGCAAAAGAUUGAAUUUCUUGAAUAAUCAAGAAUGAGAAAAAUGAGUUAGGCUCUACAUUUUUUAAUGCAAAAGAUUGAAUGUUUUUGACUAAAUCAAAAAUGGGAAUCUCAACAUGUACCAGUGCAAAUAUAUUAGAUUGAGAGUGCCAAAAAUUACCAUAGUAAACAAAAAAGUUCUAUAUUUCAAAAUAUUGGUACCAAACAGGGUCUUAGGACAAAACACCUUUUGCUCAAUUAGUAAGGUUAUUUUGUUUUUAUCAAGCAGAAGAUUGAAUUUUGUUGCAUCAAUGCAAAUAUGUGGAAUGAAAAUAAAAAACUACCAUAGCAAACUAAGUUUAUCUUUCAACCUCAGGGUUUCGGCAUAGAGCAUAUCAGUUUCUUUUGAAUGUUCUUGAAAAAAUUGUGUUUGAUUGUCUAAUAUCCCAUAAGUCUGAGACUCAAACAAUUAUUAUGAACAAAAAAAAUUCAAUAAUAUAACCACCACUCAUGAAAUCAAAACAUAAAAAAUUGAGACAGGAAUCAUAUACCUCUUGAUCAGGCUUUUCAUGUUCAAAGUAGCUCUAAUUUGUGGAUGAAGCCACAUCAACACCAACACUUGAACCAUCAACAAUCCCUUUACUCACCAGCAUGCUUUCAACUUCAGUUACAGUCCUCCACUAAUAGUUCCAUGAGAUUUCGGUUUCACCAUUGAACCUUUGGGAAUUUACCACCUUAUUAGCAUUCUGAACCUGGACAUCACUAUGUUCAACAAUAAAACAUUUUGUAUUUAUCAACCCAAAGGAAGCGUGAAUCUGGAGACAAUCCAAAUGGUCUAUUCUCUACACAAGCUGCACCAAAACCUCCAUCAGCUAUGUACUCAAUAGUUGAAGGAAUGCGAGUUGGCGAAAAGGUGAUUGAAACAUCCCUCUUGAUUUUUAUUGAAACAAGAGAACAGAAGAAGAGGAUUAUGAACUUCAAAUAAAUAUGUAGAUUGAAAAUAAAAAAAUUACCAUAGAAAACGAAAUUUAUCUUUCAACCUCAGGGUCUCAGACUCUCAGAACAGAGCAUAUAAGUU